GGGGGCCGCUGGUGGGGGUUGGGGUGGUUACUGAAAUAAGCAAGUAUGCCCAUUGCCCAGAUUAUACGAAGUCACCUUGGAUUUGGCUGUGAUCCAAAUGACCAAUAUGGCUGAGCCUCUGAGCUGAUGGACUACCAAGUAACAUAGCCUGAGAUCGAGUAAGCAUCUCAGUCAUUGAUGGGGUUUGAUAAGCCUGAACAAGACUUGAACCAUCAGUUGAGUCUCCUCUUGAUGUUGCUCUUUGCCAUGAAUGUGAGCUCAGACCUGAAAGAAUAUAAGCUCUACCAGAUGCUUCAUACACAUGCCUACUUGCCAUCCUCUCUUGCAUCUCCUUGAGCUCUGCAUCUAAUGCAAUGCAUAAUCGAUCAUGGGAUUUAGCUGAUAUAGUUUCUGACAACACCCUUCUGAACUUUUCAAGGAUAGAAACUGCACCAGCCAGAUCUCCCUGCUCAGCUGCAGUUUUUGCCUGUGACAUUGCCUCAGCUGCUUGAAGUCUGUUGCGUUGCCUGUCGACUUCAAUUGACAAUGCUCCUUCUUCAGAUGUUUCAGGCCUCUCAAGCCUAAGUUCUUCAGUUUCUAAUGUUUUGAUUUCUUUAGUUAAAGGAUCCUUGUAAACACAUCUCACCUUUAUUAGUGGUGUUUGAUUUCCAGAAGAGACAGCUGGGACAUUGACUGAAACCAGAAAAUCCCUCUCUUCAUCAGCAUAAAGAUCUCCGACAUCAAUAAACCCUGUACGUGCAUCAGCCAUCACACGACUUGGGUAACUUCCUGCUUUCAGUGAGACAAGGUGGAUACUUGGGUGCACACACUCCACUGCCACCUGCAGCUCCUGCACCACAACGCUUAAAAGUCCCCCAAUGCAUUGUGCAAAUGCAUCCUGUAUUACAGCUUCAGUCUCAAUGAAAGAAAAGGUGCCUCCUGAAAUUUCUGAAAUUGAAUGCAUUGAUGAAGCAUCAUGGUCUGCACCAAAGCCAAAAGUAUGCACUGGAAUCUGAAACCCUGCAGUUUCACUGCCAUGAAUAGACAGAGGGAGGAGCAACGAGUAAUUUGGCUGAGGUUGGUUACCACCAGAACCACUGACAGUAUAAGUAUCCUGCCCAUCUGAUAGCAGUAUUAUACUUGCCACAGGAUUCUUUUCCCUUCGGUCUUCCAUUACUUUCGCUCCCUUU
rnacentral:misc_RNA from 1 species